UCCGGAGUAGCUCAGCGGUAGAGCAGUCGGCUGUUAACCGACGGGUCGGGGGUUCGAAUCCCUCCUCCGGAGCCA
rnacentral:tRNA from 1 species